GUACACUCCUACGGGAGGCAGCAGUGAGGAAUAUUGGACAAUGGGUGGAAGCCUGAUCCAGCCAUCCCGCGUGCAGGAAGACGGCCCUAUGGGUUGUAAACUGCUUUUAUCUGGGGAUAAACCUACUUACGUGUAAGUAGCUGAAGGUACCAGAAGAAUAAGCACCGGCUAACUCCGUGCCAGCAGCCGCGGUAAUACGGAGGGUGCAAGCGUUAUCCGGAUUUAUUGGGUUUAAAGGGUCCGUAGGCGGACUGAUAAGUCAGUGGUGAAAUCCGACAGCUUAACUGUCGAACUGCCAUUGAUACUGUUAGUCUUGAGUAAGGUUGAAGUGGCUGGAAUAAGUAGUGUAGCGGUGAAAUGCAUAGAUAUUACUUAGAACACCAAUUGCGAAGGCAGGUCACUAAGUCUUAACUGACGCUGAUGGACGAAAGCGUGGGGAGCGAACAGGAUUAGAAACCCGUGUAGUCCCAUGA
rnacentral:rRNA from 1 species